rnacentral:lncRNA from 1 species
UUCUGAUAACACAAAACGAUUUUGUGUUCUGUCAACAAGGUUUCGUUUCUAGGAAAUGAAUCACCUUUCCAAUACCCAUACGCCUCCCCUCAGCCUGCAUACAUACUUCAAACUGAGCCAUUUAUGUACCAACUUCCUCUUCUAUUUCCUCUUCUACUUUUUCUUCAUCCUCCACUUUCCCUUCUAAAGUUGUUAAGUUGUGUCUUACCACAAAUGUGUCCAUAGAAAUAUCUAUCUCCAUAUUUGUAGCACAAUCCUUUGUUUUCUCUUGGAAGGUUUCCAGCAGUUUUGUUCACUAGUGAAGUUUUCACCUGAGUUCCACUUGGAUGUGGUAUGAAACUUCUUCCUUCUUGCCUUAAUGGAAGCCUCUUGCAUCCUUGCUUGAAGAAAUACAUCCGUGAGGUCUGCUCGAAUAAGCAAAACAAGCUGCACUUCUUCAUCCAAACCACUAAUAAAACUUUACACAAGAUACGGUUAUAUUACUGUAGGGUUUAGCUUGAGUACUCUGGAUGUUAAAUCCUCAAAUUUUUCUGGUAUUCCAGUACUUAACCAGUUUGUUUCAAUUUGUUGAAACUUCCCACCACAUUAAUACAAGAGGGGUCACCAAACUUCUUUAACAACUCAUCUACUAGCACUUCCCACUGCAGAUUUGGACAUUCUACUGACCAUCCUUGGUACCAGAUACCUGCUCUACCCUCUAGGAACAGAGCUGCUAUCUCUACCUAUUGGUUAGGAGGGAUUUAAUGAAUUGUGAAGAGUUUAGUGCACUUUCUUACCCAGGAAGCAGGAUCGGUGCUUGAGCUUUGGCAAGUGUGCUGCUAGUUGGUCUGGUCGGAGUAGAACUCCUCGAUGUUCUUGAUCCGACAGUUCUUCCUAAUUCCUCUCUAUGAAUCUCUGAAACAUCUACUCCGAGCGCUGGUUUAAGGCUAACAGCUACGUUGCUAGUCUGGAAUGCUUCAAGGGUAGUACCAUGAUGGUCAACCGUCACUGUGAGAUUCACGUGGUUAGUUUCUUGAGUAUUUUUGAGGUUGGCAAGUUGCUCCUCAAGCACUGUGAGACGAGUACCAUAGUUAUGUGUCAUUGUAUAUGCCGGAAUCUGGCUCCGAUACCAAUUGUAAUGUCCCAAAUUAGGGUUUCGGCGAGAUAGAUAGAGUCGGAGAAGAAAGGGGGAGGAAGACAGGGAGAGAAGAGAGGUAGAAUGAGAGGGAGA